CGCAACGCAACAACGCCUCCGUGAAGAAAAGUGUUCGCUUGAUUUUUCCGCCGGGUUUUUCGCAGGUUUUUCGUGUGUGUGAGCGAGCAAUAAUAACAACAAAAGUCGCAUUGUUUGCCAACAACAACGACCAGUGCAAAUACUAAGCUUAAGUUAUUCUCCUUCAUUUUGUUCGGAUAUGCUCGUAAUAU